UUGACGGAAGGGCACCACCAG
rnacentral:ncRNA from 2 species